AACGCUAGCUACAGGCUUAACACAUGCAAGUCGAGGGGCAGCAUGAUUGAAGCUUGCUUCAAUUGAUGGCGACCGGCGCACGGGUGAGUAACGCGUAUCCAACCUUCCGUACACUCAGGGAUAGCCUUUCGAAAGAAAGAUUAAUACCUGAUGGUAUGAUGAGAUUGCAUGGUAACAUCAUUAAAGAUUCAUCGGUGUACGAUGGGGAUGCGUUCCAUUAGAUAGUAGGCGGGGUAACGGCCCACCUAGUCGACGAUGGAUAGGGGUUCUGAGAGGAAGGUCCCCCACAUUGGAACUGAGACACGGUCCAAACUCCUACGGGAGGCAGCAGUGAGGAAUAUUGGUCAAUGGGCGCGAGCCUGAACCAGCCAAGUAGCGUGAAGGAUGAAGGUCCUACGGAUUGUAAACUUCUUUUAUAAGGGAAUAAAGUCACCCACGUGUGGGUGUUUGUAUGUACCUUAUGAAUAAGCAUCGGCUAACUCCGUGCCAGCAGCCGCGGUAAUACGGAGGAUGCGAGCGUUAUCCGGAUUUAUUGGGUUUAAAGGGAGUGUAGACGGGUCGUUAAGUCAGCUGUGAAAGUUUGAGGCUCAACCUUAAAAUUGCAGUUGAUACUGGCGUCCUUGAGUACGGUUGAGGCAGGCGGAAUUCGUGGUGUAGCGGUGAAAUGCUUAGAUAUCACGAAGAACUCCGAUUG
rnacentral:rRNA from 1 species